rnacentral:rRNA from 1 species
GAUGAACGCUGGCGGCGUGCCUAACACAUGCAAGUCGAGCGAACAGAUAAGGAGCUUGCCCCUUUUACGUUAGCGGCGGACGGGUGAGUUACACGUGGAUAACCUACCUAUAAGACUGGGAUAACUUCGGGAAACCGGAUCUAAUACCGGAUAACAUAUUGAACCGCAUGGUUCAUCAGUGAAAGGCGGCUUUGCUGUUACUUAUAGAUGGUUCCGCGCCGUAUUAGCUAGUUGGUAAGGUAACGGCUUACCAAGGCAACGAUACGUAGCCGACCUGAGAGGAUGAUCGGCCACACUGGAACUGAGACACGGUCCAGACUCCUACGGGAGGCAGCAGUAGGGAAUCUUCCACAAUGGGCGAAAGCCUGACGGAGCAACGCCGCGUGAGUGAUGAAGGUCUUCGGAUCGUAAAACACUGUUAGCAGGGAAGAACGAAUGUAUGAGAAACUGUGCACAUCUUGACGGUACCAGAACAGAAAGCCACGGCUAACUACGUG